AUGAACGCUGGCGGCGUGCCUAAUACAUGCAAGUCGAGCGAACAGACGAGGAGCUUGCUCCUCUGACGUUAGCGGCGGACGGGUGAGUAACACGUGGAUAACCUACCUAUAAGACUGGGAUAACUUCGGGAAACCGGAGCUAAUACCGGAUAAUAUAUUGAACCGCAUGGUUCAAUAGUGAAAGACGGUUUUGCUGUCACUUAUAGAUGGAUCCGCGCCGCAUUAGCUAGUUGGUAAGGUAACGGCUUACCAAGGCAACGAUGCGUAGCCGACCUGAGAGGGUGAUCGGCCACACUGGAACUGAGACACGGUCCAGACUCCUACGGGAGGCAGCAGUAGGGAAUCUUCCGAAAUGGGCGAAAGCUUGACGGAGCAACGCCGCGUGAGUGAUGAAGGUCUUCGGAUCGUAAAACUCUGUUAUUAGGGAAGAACAAAUGUGUAAGUAACUAUGCACGUCUUGACGGUACCUAAUCAGAAAGCCACGGCUAACUACGUG
rnacentral:rRNA from 1 species